rnacentral:lncRNA from 1 species
CUCUGGGUCGCCGCCAUCUUGUCAUUGAGUUGGAUACUUCGUGUGGUGAUCUUUAAUCUUGUCGUCGCACCGGUUGUCGCCACCGAGGUGGACUGGCAGCCCUGAGCGUCGCAGUCAUGCAGGCCGGACCCGUGCAGGCGGUACCCCCGCCGCCGCCAGUAGCCACUGAGUCCAAACAGGUAUCGUGCCCCGCGCUCCCUGCCUGCAGGCCUGCUGGAGGCCUCGUUCCUCCCCUCCGCGCGGGCGCUGUGGCACUGCUGCUGGAAGCUCAGGCCACCCCGAAGGACAUGGAGGGACUGCAAGUCCCAGGAGUCAGCGCGCUGAGUUGCCUUCUGGUCUCGAAAAAGAUAUCCCUAGAACCGGACUUUUCAAAACCAGCAUGCGGACCUGCACCCCCGGCUUCCUCUGGGGUCUUAUGUGAACCACGAAGCCUCCAUUCAAAAAGAGGAGAGCUAAGCAAAUCAUUCUUUCCCCUAGAUUAGGAAUGGCUGCGUAAAUACAGUAUGGCUAAGGAAACUUGCCCUGUUUUGUUUUUAACUGCGUCCUCGGAUGCUAACCCAAGAGAGUCUGCAGUCUACAGGACAGACGUUCCUGUCAGUAUCAUGGAGCGUUUAUGAUAGCCUAAUCCGAGCCGGGGACUUGAAGCCCUUACUACCUUUUCUCUGUUUUCACAGCCAAUUGAAGAAGAAGCAUCGUCAAAGGAGGAUCCCACCCCUUCCAAGCCAGUGGUCGGCAUUAUUUACCCUCCCCCGGAGGUCAGGAACAUCGUCGACAAGACUGCCAGUUUUGUGGCCAGGUAACAGCUGCUUCUGCACAGAGGGAACUUGUAGUAUAAAGGUCUUUUAAAGCAGCACAGGGGCAUCAUGGGGAGUUCUAGAGGCUCUGGCUUAGACUCCUUACUUCUUCCAAAACCACAGGAGAGCAAUGAGGUAGGUGAUAGAUAGGACUGGUAUGGUUGACAUACCACAACAGUAAUCGCAGUGAAAGCCAUGCCUAGCUGUGUAGUCACUAGGAGUUUCUGCUUCCAAAACAAGUCUGUGGAAAUUCCUGGUAGCUUCUUUGUGGCUGCUGAUGUGCAUAUGCUGUGUUAACCU